rnacentral:rRNA from 1 species
AAAACCGGGUCAAAAACCCGGUCGCCGUAAGCCCAAGGUUUCCUGGGGAAGGAUAAGCCUCCCAUGGGUUAGUCGGAACCUAAGCUGAGGCCGAAUGGCGUAGGCGAUGGCAAGCAGGUUAAUAUUCCUGCACCAUGAUGGUGAAUUGUCGUAGCGAGGACGGAGAAGGGUAUGCUUCGCCAGACGGUGGACGUUCUGGUUCAAGCGUGUAGGCAGACUGCGUAGGACGCGACAGCGACAAACGCGUGGCCAUCAUGCCGAGACGUGAGGAGGAGGGCUUUCGGGCCCGGAACGAAGUGAUCCCAGGCUUCCAAGAAAAGUCGCGACGAGUCGCACUAUCGUGUCCGUACCGCAAACCGACUCAGGUGGGCGGGAAGAGUAUUCCAAGGCGCGUGAGAGAACCCUGGUUAAGGAACUAGGCAAACUGGCCCCGUAACUUCGGGAGAAGGGGCGCCGGCGGGUGUGUAGAGAUUCACUCUCGAAGCACUUGUUGGCCGCAGUGACCUGGGGGUUGCGACUGUUUACUAAAAACACAGGACUCUGCGAAGUCGGAAGACGACGUAUAGGGUCUGACGCCUGCCCGGUGCUGGAAGGUUAAGGGGAGAAGUUAGGGCAACCGAAGCUUCGAACCGAAGCCCCAGUAAACGGCGGCCGUAACAAUAACGGUCCUAAGGUAGCGAAAUUCCUUGUCGGGUAAGUGCCGACCUGCACGAAGGGCGUAACGACAUCCCCGCUGUCUCGACCAGGGACUCAGCGAAAUUGUCCUGGGGGUGAUAUACCCUCUACCCGCGGCAAGACGGAAAGACCCCAUGAACCUUUACUGUAACUUGACAGUGAGUUUCGGGAUGUUCUGCGUAGGAUAGGUGGGAGACGGUGAGAGCGGGGUUCUGGCCUCGCUGGAGUCACCCUUGAAAUACCACCCUGGACAUUCUGGGAUUCUAACCCAGGCCCGCAAUCCGGGUCGGGGACACUGUCUGGUGGGCAGUUUGACUGGGGCGGUCGCCUCCCAAAAAGUAACGGAGGCGCACGAAGGUCACCUCAGGCUGAUUGGAAACCAGCCGUAGAGUGUAAAGGCAUAAGGUGGCUUGACUGCGAGACCGACAGGUCGAGCAGGUGCGAAAGCAGGUCUUAGUGAUCCGGUGGUCCCGCAUGGAAGGGCCAUCGCUCAUCGGAUAAAAGGUACUCUGGGGAUAACAGGCUGAUCACGCCUGAGAGUUCACAUCGGCGGCGUGGUUUGGCACCUCGAUGUCGGCCCAUCGCAUCCUGGGGCUGGAGCAGGUCCCAAGGGUUCGGCUGUUCGCCGAUUAAAGCGUACGCGAGCUGGGUUUAGAACGUCGUGAGACAGUUCGGUCCCUAUCUGCCGUGGGCGCAGGAGACUUGAGAGGCCCUGCCCAUAGUACGAGAGGACCUGGGUGGACGGACCUCUAGUGAUCCGGUUGUCGUACCAACGGCACCGCCGGGUAGCUAUGUCCGGAAGGGAUAAUCGCUGAAAGCAUCUAAGCGAGAAGCCUACCUCAAGAUCAGGUCUCCCUAUCAGGCUCCUUGUAGACCACAAGGUUAAUAGGCCGGGUGUGAAUGCGCUGUAAGGCGCGGAGCUAACCGGUACUACUCAGCCGAUCGGCUUGCCG